rnacentral:rRNA from 1 species
UACGUAGGGUGCGAGCGUUGUCCGGAAUUAUUGGGCGUAAAGAGCGUGUAGGCGGCCAGGUAGGUCUGCUGUGAAAACUCGAGGCUCAACCUCGAGACGUCGGCGGAAACCAUCUGGCUAGAGUCCGGAAGAGGAGAGUGGAAUUCCUGGUGUAGCGGUGAAAUGCGCAGAUAUCAGGAAGAACACCCGUGGCGAAGGCGGCUCUCUGGGACGGUACUGACGCUGAGACGCGAAAGCGUGGGGAGCAAACGGG